ACAAAAGACGACCGGGAAGCCGUCCGACUAUACCCACUUCACUGACCUUUUCAGUUUUCAUCAUUAUGUAUAAUAGAAAGCACUCGCUGGACUGUGAACGAGAUCCCGACCCGUUCGACCCUCUUCAUAGGUGAACUCGGCGGCGGGUGGUUUUAUCUGCAUCCCCCUUCGCGCCCCACCAACUACCUGUACACCACCGUCCACUGAGUACCGGGAAAUGAUCCACGUAACGACCACCCCACAAGCUCAACACUGUCUGCCAUUAUUCGAUUAUUUUCGUUCGGAGACCCGUGUGGUGCGCAUGAGAUCGCACAAUACUGAAUAGUUGCAGAUUUACUGUAGGUAAUGCUACAGCAGUAUAGUGUUCGUUAGCAGUCCAGACCGCCGUUCACCAUCCCGUGAUGGACGUCCUCAGUCGCUGUCGAGAAAAUUCCAAUAAGAUUUCAUCUUACCAAUUUCCCGGGUUACACGCUUUUGGAGUUUCAACUCACCACAACAUUGGCCUGUGUAAUAUUACAAGAUUGAUCGUUGAUGCAUGUGUAAUACGUUGUUUACCGCUAACCUUUCGUCGUCCUCAGGUCCUACAUGAUUAAGACACGAAUACUGAUCGCCGAGUGUAACAUGAUGACGCUUAUCCGACGCUUCACUGGCUCAGGUCGUAGUUUUGCCUCGUCUACACGAUAUUCUUGUAAAAAUCUAUUUUAGGCGCACAAGAAAUAAUUGUCAUGGCUCAAAGACACGCGUGUUUUGUUCCGAUUGAAGAAAUCCAGAACCAAAGAGGUUAUGAGGUUUUAUAGUUUCACUAAAUCAGUACUGGAAGAAGAGAAUAAGAAGAGAUAAUAUCAUGGAUAUAAUGUACACAUUCUGCCAUCAGAUGAUGAUUACCUAACUAUAUCAAACUAACUGCAUGGUACAUAAUCUAACUAAAUACAACAGAAAAAAUAUGAAUGUAUCAAGAAAUUUAGAUUUAAAGGAAUGGAUAACUUAAGUACAUUGUUUAGUAUGUGUCUGAGCAUAUAUAAAUAAAAGAUUUCAAAUGGAAAUAUGAAGAAAGAAAAAUAAAUGAGCACGAUGGAUAUUUUUUGAAGGAAUAUAUUCUUAAGUUAUGGAUCAGCAAUAUUCAAGGUUACCAAAAAGUAUUUAUCUAUGAUGCAGGGU